AAUUAUCAAAAACCUUUUUCUGCUUUUGCUGAAAAAGGAUUUUUGGAUUUGGAGGUUCAAUGCUUGCCUUUCAUCUUGGAAAGUGAGCUCCUCUUAAAUGAAUUAGUGGGGGUCUGCUUUGCUGGUCCUUGACGUGAUAAGAUGUUUCUACGUUUUGGAUUUAGCACUGUCCCUUUGGAUGCCUGCUCCUAACUGUCCCAUGGACAACGAUGGUGCUCUGGUCUUUGCCGUCUACUUUGGCGGGAGAGGCUGGUCCCACAAAAGAAAA
rnacentral:misc_RNA from 2 species